GGCACUUUGGCGGAGUGGUUAACGCGAUGCCCUGCUAUGUUGCAGACAAUGCAUUAUAGUUGGUAGGCAUUCCCUUCGGGGGCGUGUGUUCGAAUCACACAGGUGUCG